GUGACCUCAAAUCAGGUAGGACUACCCGCUGAACUUAAGCAUAUCAAUAAGCGGAGGAAAAGAAACUAACAAGGAUUCCCUAGUAACUGCGAGUGAAGCGGGAAAAGCUCAAAUUUAAAAUCUGUCAGUCUUUGGCUGUCCGAGUUGUAAUCUAGAGAAGUGUUAUCUGCGCUGGACCAUGUAUA
rnacentral:rRNA from 1 species